AUGGAUCCGCGCUGCAUUAGCUAGUUGGUAAGGUAACGGCUUACCAAGGCAACGAUGCAUAGCCGACCUGAGAGGGUGAUCGGCCACACUGGAACUGAGACACGGUCCAGACUCCUACGGGAGGCAGCAGUAGGGAAUCUUCCGCAAUGGGCGAAAGCCUGACGGAGCAACGCCGCGUGAGUGAUGAAGGUCUUCGGAUCGUAAAACUCUGUUAUUAGGGAAGAACAUAUGUGUAAGUAACUGUGCACAUCUUGACGGUACCUAAUCAGAAAGCCACGGCUAACUACGUGCCAGCAGCCGCGGUAAUACGUAGGUGGCAAGCGUUAUCCGGAAUUAUUGGGCGUAAAGCGCGCGUAGGCGGUUUUUUAAGUCUGAUGUGAAAGCCCACGGCUCAACCGUGGAGGGUCAUUGGAAACUGGAAAACUUGAGUGCAGAAGAGGAAAGUGGAAUUCCAUGUGUAGCGGUGAAAUGCGCAGAGAUAUGGAGGAACACCAGUGGCGAAGGCGACUUUCUGGUCUGUAACUGACGCUGAUGUGCGAAAGCGUGGGGAUCAAACAGGAUUAGAUACCCUGGUAGUCCACGCCGUAAACGAUGAGUGCUAAGUGUUAGGGGGUUUCCGCCCCUUAGUGCUGCAGCUAACGCAUUAAGCA
rnacentral:rRNA from 1 species